UUUGCCUAGGACGGCGGUUCCCGGGAAGCUCGACCCGGGGUUGAGUGGGGCGGAUCUCCAGCCGAAGUCCAAGGAGGCAGCGAAAAUUGCGUGUUCUCAUCUACCUGACACAGAGUGGACCCUGGAGGAGGAUUCUGCUGCAGUGCACGAUACUCCAUAGAAUUGCUGUGCUGCUGUAAGGUCUUCAUGUGGCUACAGCCUGGCAUGCUUUUUUGCCUUGUGUCACGCCAGCUUCAUGGGCCGUAAAUACUACUGAACUGCAAGGAGUAGGAAGAGGAUGAAGAGCAAUGGGAGGAGGUGGAAAAUGCUGGGCCAAGGAUUUACCUCAUUCUGGUAAGCCUAAGGGGAUCAUUUUCCAGAGUUCCACUGAUGGGGCUGAACCUUACAGAAAGUACCAUAUGGGCACCAGCAGUUACCACUUUCUUACUGUUCCCGUGGCAGCCUGCUGAAUGUGCCAGAAUUAGGGACAAGCUAAGCAACUUACAGUUUAGGGUCUCAUUGGGGUCUCAAAGUCCAAAGGGGGCCUCUCAAAAUUUCAGUUUUCUUUUCACUUGCUACAGUUUCCUUAUCAUUUCAUAGCCCAAAGUGUCCAUUAAUUAAGCUAUUUUGUAUGGUUCACAUGAUCCUCGUUAAUUAAUAUAUGCUUUGUUUCUGUCUAUACUUGCGCCUUCUAUUCACAGAGGGUCUUUCCCUACCAUAUUGUGGAUUUUUUUUAAUUCUUGGCAUUCUUGCCAUGUUCAGUUGUUAUAUUUGCUAGAUAGAAUCUCUAGAGUUAAAUCGCUGUUAGCACUUUCCAAACAAAACUGCUAAAGUUUCUCAAAGCUUAGCCCAUUCCUGUUUUAAAACUGGCCUUGUCAGCCAGUCCUUCCAUUUCUUCCUUUAGUAAUCAUUCAACCCACAUCUAUUUCAUCCAAGCUUCAUGGAGGAGACAGGAGAGUGAUAGCAUCUCAGAAGCUGCUCUGGUGGGCCACUCAGCUAUGCUAUGGUAGACCAGCCAAAUCAAUAGAGUUGAGCUGCGCUUCUAUUAGCACUAACACAUAACCACUGGCACAACCCAGCUAUAAUGAUAGACAGCUCCAGAUACCUUUCCAGCUCUCCUUGAAGAAACAGUCUCACCUGGAGGGUACCUGGUUAUUGGCAGGGUGCCAACAGCUGAGCCAUGUCAUGAUGAGGCAUAGUCCCUUUUGGUCCUAGUUUCUCAACUAUCCAAAAAUUCUUCCCCAUAGCAACAGCCUCCUUUUGCUGUUGUAUUCACCAGAUACAAUAUUAGUUAUGGAGAGUAGCUGUACAUUCAUGAUAUAUUCAAGUCUCUAGUACAGGACAUGCUUGUUUAUGAUUGUUAUCUCAUGAAACCAUCCUAGUUUAGGAUACUAAUGGAUACCCACCGAACGUAGACUCUUAGAAAUUUUCUAGACCAUUCCCCUCCUCUAACUCAUGUUUCUUUAUGGUAGUACCUUUAGAGAGAACAUCGCCUGUCUUCAGGCAAGUAGUUCUGUCACAGAUUGUGAGCAGCCUAAACAGUUCAAUUUCUACUUCCCUUUCUUUCAGAGAUUGAUAGCCAUUGGGAUCAGCCAAUACACAGCACCAUUAACUGACCAAAUGCGCUCUUUUUCCAUAACUCUCUAACUCCCCUACAAAAUAAAUCCUGCAUUGUUUAAACUGACUGGGUGUAAGAUGUUCUGUACAUGUAGCCACUUGCUUUUUAAAUAAAUAUAUCUUAAGCAUGAAA